GGUACAGUUACCACAUAUUAUCAUGGCUGUAUCUAUAGCCAUAAAGGCUGCCAUGGGGCUCAGAGGUUGAAAGGCCCCACAUAGGUUCCAGAAUAUUCAGCAUUUUUAUUUCUGCUAUCUAGCACUACAUGGGAAAUUAAAUACCUGACGAUCUACAUACCUACAUGAGGAAUUACCCCUGCCUAACUACCUACCUACGGAUUUGUUGCUUUGCGCGAAUAUCAGCUGAUCUGAAUGGAUAAUAACACAACGCAGUAAUGAUGUGUUUUCCUUAUACAUAUGACAUUAAGGAUGCUGUCUGCUGGAAGAAAGUGUCAGGAGCUGUGUAGAGAAUCGCUCAGGAAUCGCUCCUGCUUACACAAUAAUAAAUUAAUUAUGG